UCAGGCAUGGUGUAAUGGUAACAUAUCUGCCCUAUCUGCACAAGGCACAGAUCAUCUAUUCUGUAGAGGUCACAAGUUCGAUCCUCGAUGUCUGAA